UGUCACUAAUGUGACAGUCUGCAGUUCUGUUUGUUUCAUGGGGCCAAUCCAAACUCACCACGGUGUAACAGAGGUAAGGCUCUGACCUGCUUCUCUUCAAAACUCCAAAGCCGUAAGAAGUUGUAUAAUGAAACUCUAUCCACUUGUGCUGUGACUGCUGAGUGUUUCAAGAGCUCCUACAGCUCCCACAGGCCUCUAAUUGUCAAGCAGGGCUCACAGGGAAACCACAUCUGCGCCUACAGCUACCUCUCCAUGCUCCACCGCCUCUUCUCACUCCACAUGUAUCCAGAAGAAACCAAAAGCAGUUGUUUUUGUCAGC
rnacentral:lncRNA from 11 species